rnacentral:rRNA from 1 species
UACGAAGGGGGCUAGCGUUGCUCGGAAUCACUGGGCGUAAAGGGUGCGUAGGCGGGUCUUUAAGUCAGAGGUGAAAUCCUGGAGCUCAACUCCAGAACUGCCUUUGAUACUGAGGAUCUUGAGUUCGGGAGAGGUGAGUGGAACUGCGAGUGUAGAGGUGAAAUUCGUAGAUAUUCGCAAGAACACCAGUGGCGAAGGCGGCUCACUGGCCCGAUACUGACGCUGAGGCGCGAAAGCGUGGGGAGCAACAGGAU